rnacentral:lncRNA from 10 species
UUUUUGAUACACGAAUUGUUCUCAAGAUUGUCCUGAAAUGCCUUGUUUGUUGUCAUUCUAGUUAGACAAGUAAUCAGCCUUGAGCUGCACAGUAUUUUAACUAAGACAUUUGGUUUUUUUCCCUUUUCUUUCUUUCUUUUUUUCCCCUCUCGGGUGUUUAGAACUACAAGAGAUUUGUUUUUCUAAUUGCUUAGUUGCAGUUAGGUGGAACCUACAUAUUAUUUUUUUUUCUGCUGCAGAAUUUUUAUCAUGUGGAAUUAAGCAAGUACCUUGCCUUAGUCCAUUUUUUCUUGCUUAUAACAGAAUACCUGAAACUGGGUAAUUUAUUUUAAAAAAUGCUUUUAUUUCUUACAGUUCUGGAGGCUGAGGAGCCCCAGGUUGAGGGGCUUCAUCUGGUGAGAGCCUUCUUGCUGGUGGAGACUCUGAAGAGUCCCGAAGUGGUGUGGGGAAACAUAUGGUUUGUUUUUUAUCAGUGUGUUGUACAGAGCGAAUGGCCUCGGACCUUCAAUGGCUGUGCACUGCUUUCUCAGGACUUUCCCUCAAAGGGAAGAACUGACCCUUAUCUCUUUCCCUUUUCUCCACCAUUAGAGCUCAGAGAUCCCAAGAGGCAAAGCGGGGAAAGUUUUAGAAAUCAUUUCACUCUGGAAAGCUUUCAGAUCACAGAUUCCUGCUCAUAAGUGGAUAAAUGAUGCAGUAAAAUUGAACAAACACAGCUCGUCCUACAUUCUGAAGAUGGGGCACAUUUAUCAGAAGAGAAAAACUGCCAGAGAGAAUUCACAUCAGUGCAGACCGAGAGUCUCAGAUGGCUAAGAGAUGUGCCUGACAACUUUUCAGAAAUAAGACUAUUAAAAGAAGGUCAGCUUGGAGUCUUACUGCGAAGAAUUAUAAACAGGCACGUGGAUUAUAAAUAGGGAGUUGGCAUGGUGGUUAAAUUUUUCUAAAACAGUCAUAUUAAUGUGUUCAAAAAUCCACUGCUGAGUCUCAGAGAGAGGGUCACAUCUGGCCAUGAAAAUCUUCUUCUCUGCGGGGUUGCAAUCCAUGCAGCUGUUGCUCACAGGAUGGAAUAAUGUUCUGUCCUGGAGGAGUGAGGAAGAAAAGAAAAGACUGUUGUAAUACGUGGUGAAUGGUUACAACCCAAAAUAUACAGAAGUAAGAUAUUUCUGUUUAUAUUUCAGUAUAUAUUUAUUGUGUAAAUAGAACAGCUCCCAAAUCAAACAAUAGCAGGUGGAGUUGCCCAUGUGGAAUGUGAAUUUGUAGGCUGUAUUGGCACUAUGUAGGGCCUACAAGCAGGUUCAAUUAGAGACAAUAAAUGUAUUUAUUCAUUCAAUCAUCCACUUCUUUUAAAAAAGCAAUCCAUUCAUUUUCUGCUCUGUGGUGAGCUUUUUGCUAUCUGCUUAAAUUUUGAAAAUAGUAAGUAUAUGGGGUUGCUUGGCAAGUAACCAAUAAUGUAGCUAUCUGGGAAGAAACACAUACACAAAAAAUUGUAUUUUAGUCCGCAGUAAAUAAUACCCCCUGCUCACACGCACACACAAUGACUAGAAGAGUCAUAAUUCCCU